GGUCAGAUGGCCGAGCGGUCUAAGGCGCCAGGUUCAGGCACACCUGAAUUCCCGUUUGAAGCCAUUCAAAUGUCUCCUGGUCUCGCAAGAGGCGUGGGUUCGAAUCCCACUCUGAUCA